rnacentral:lncRNA from 1 species
GGACUGUGUCACAGCUCCUCACUUCCAUUGUUCAGAACUGGACAUCCCACAGGAUUUUAUUACAGGUCCCUUAACUGCCCUGAGAGUGUCAAGAAGAGAUGCUGAGUGCACGGGCAAGUUAGUGAUGUACCUGCUAGAAUCCUGGGAACCAGGACCUGCCUCAGUCCAUGAUGGAGCAGAAAGCCUCAGAUAUCCCUUCUGCACCUCUGUGUCUGAUUUCGUCCCUGGCUCUCCAAGAAACCCGAGCUUGCCAGGAUGGAUUCUCCUCUGCAACCAGCCUCCCUGCAGCAGAUGCCAGGAUAAAAUGCCUGUCUUUCCUGAAGGGCUCCUCUCUGCUGCCAGCGGGACCAGCGGCAUCUCAGCUGAGAAUGAAAGCCACUGUUUUAUGGCUGCUCUAGCCUGAUAUCUCGGAGUAUUGGCCAACACAGACACACAGAACUGCUGGAAUUGCAUACGAGUAACACAAGGAAUGCAAAGAUUUUCUUGGCAUCACUGCUAGGGAAUGCCCACUUAAGAAUACUUAUGUACUUUGUACACAAGAUCCCUUUUUCUUUGACAGAAUGGAUAAUGAGACAUUUUCUCUGCACACCCAAGAAGGCACAUGGUGUGAUUCCUGCACAGGGCCAGGAGUUGGACUCGAUUAUCCUGAUGGGUCCCUUACAACUCAGUACAUUCUAUGAUUUUAUUAUUCUAAGAACCUAGAAAACCUGGGAAGAUAUCCCAGGGCAUCUCUCUUGGGAUUUAGCAUUUACUGUAGCAUUCAGAAGUCUAAACGCACAGCCAAUAAAAGAAUGU